rnacentral:rRNA from 1 species
AUUGAACGCUGGCGGCAGGCCUAACACAUGCGAGUCGAACGAGAGGCGGACGGGUGAGUAAUGGCCGUGAAACUGCCUGAUGGUGGGGGAUAACUACUGGAAACGGGAGCUAAUAACGCAUAUCAUCGGAUGUGCCCAGAUGGGAUUAGCUAGUAGGUGGGGUAACGGCUCACCCAGGCGACGAUCCCUAGCUGGUCUGAGAGGAUGACCAGCCACACUGGAACUGAGAUACGGUCCAGACUCCUACGGUAGGCAGCAGUGGGGAAUAUUGCACAAUGGGCGCAAGCCUGAUGCAGCCAUGCCGCGUGUAUGAAGAAGGCCUUCGGGUUGUAAAGUACUUUCAGCUGGGAGGCGUUACCCGCAGAAGAAGCACCGGCUAACUCCGUGCCAGCAGCCGCGGUAAUAC